rnacentral:rRNA from 1 species
CGUGAGCAACCUACCCCAGAGCUUGGAAUAUCACCGGGAAACCGAGUGCUAAUACCGAAUACUCUAAUUCGGCCGCAUGACUGAAUGAGGAAAGAUUUAUCACUCUGGGACGGGCUCGCGGCCUAUCAGCUUGUUGGUGAGGUAACGGCUCACCAAGGCUACGACGGGUAGCUGGUCUGAGAGGACGAUCAGCCACACUGGGACUGAGACACGGCCCAGACUCCUACGGGAGGCAGCAGUGGGGAAUAUUGCGCAAUGGGCGAAAGCCUGACGCAGCAACGCCGCGUGGAGGAUGAAGGCUUUCGGGUUGUAAACUCCUUUCAGCAGGGACGAAACUGACGGUACCUGCAGAAGAAGCCCCGGCUAACUACGUGCCAUCAGCCGCGGUGAUACGUACGGGGCAAGCCGUUGUCCGGAUUUAUUGGGCGUAAAGAGCUCGUAGGCGGCUUGGCAAGUCGGA